AUGCGAGAGCAAGCCAGAGGGAUCAUGAACAAAUGCACACAUUUUGAAUGGCUGGAUGACUACGUUAAGCGGAUUCAAUUCAAUGGGGCCCCAACCCGGGAGCUCAAUCUGCCGUCAGCACCAACGAAUUUGGUCUCUGAAAGUGCCGCUCUGACAGUUGGGGAUGCAGAUCUGAAGGGGGGAUUAAAGUAG
rnacentral:rRNA from 1 species